rnacentral:piRNA from 1 species
UGGUUUAUGGAAUGUGCCAUUCUCUUGGUC